rnacentral:rRNA from 1 species
UACAGAGGUCCCAAGCGUUGUUCGGAUUCACUGGGCGUAAAGGGUGCGUAGGUGGUGAGGAAAGUCGGAUGUGAAAUCUCCGGGCUUAACCCGGAAACUGCAUUGGAAACUACCUUGCUAGAGGUUUUGAGGGGGGACUGGAAUUCUCGGUGUAGCAGUGAAAUGCGUAGAUAUCGAGAGGAACACCAGUGGCGAAGGCGAGUCCCUGGAAAACACCUGACACUGAGGCACGAAAGCUAGGGGAGCAAACAGG